GAUGAACGCUGGCGGCGUGCCUAACACAUGCAAGUCGAGCGAACGGACGAGAAGCUUGCUUCUCUGAUGUUAGCGGCGGACGGGUGAGUAACACGUGUAUAACCUACCUAUAAGACUGGGAUAAUUUCGGGAAACCGGAGCUAAUACCGGAUAAUAUUUUGAACCGUAUGGUUGAAAAGUGAAUUACGGUCUUUCUGUCACUACUAGAUGCUUCCGCGCUUCAUUAGCUUGUUGGUACGGUAACGGCUUUCCAAGGCAACGAUGCAUAGCCGACGUGAGAGGGUGAUAGCCCACACUGGAGCUGAAACGCGGUCAAGACUCCUAAGGGAGGCAGCAGUAGGGAAUCUUCCGCAAUAGGCGAAAACCUGACGGAGCAACGCCGAGUGAGAUGUAAAGGUCUUCGGAUCGGAAAAACCUGUUAUUAGGUAAGAACAUAUGUGGAAUUAAAUGAGCACAGCGUGACGGUACCUGGUCAGAAAGCCACGGCUAACUACGUG
rnacentral:rRNA from 1 species